rnacentral:rRNA from 1 species
CAGAUGGGAGCUUGCUCCCUGAUGUUAGCGGCGGACGGGUGAGUAACACGUGGGUAACCUGCCUGUAAGACUGGGAUAACUCCGGGAAACCGGGGCUAAUACCGGAUGGUUGUUUGAACCGCAUGGUUCAGACAUAAAAGGUGGCUUCGGCUACCACUUACAGAUGGACCCGCGGCGCAUUAGCUAGUUGGUGAGGUAACGGCUCACCAAGGCGACGAUGCGUAGCCGACCUGAGAGGGUGAUCGGCCACACUGGGACUGAGACACGGCCCAGACUCCUACGGGAGGCAGCAGUAGGGAAUCUUCCGCAAUGGACGAAAGUCUGACGGAGCAACGCCGCGUGAGUGAUGAAGGUUUUCGGAUCGUAAAGCUCUGUUGUUAGGGAAGAACAAGUGCCGUUCAAAUAGGGCGGCACCUUGACGGUACCUAACCAGAAAGCCACGGCUAACUACGUGCCAGCAGCCGCGGUAAUACGUAGGUGGCAAGCGUUGUCCGGAAUUAUUGGGCGUAAAGGGCUCGCAGGCGGUUUCUUAAGUCUGAUGUGAAAGCCCCCGGCUCAACCGGGGAGGGUCAUUGGAAACUGGGGAACUUGAGUGCAGAAGAGGAGAGUGGAAUUCCACGUGUAGCGGUGAAAUGCGUAGAGAUGUGGAGGAACACCAGUGGCGAAGGCGACUCUCUGGUCUGUAACUGACGCUGAGGAGCGAAAGCGUGGGGAGCGAACAGGAUUAGAUACCCUGGUAGUCCACGCCGUAAACGAUGAGUGCU